UACGGGGGGGGCAAGCGUUGUUCGGAAUUACUGGGCGUAAAGGGCGCGUAGGCGGGUGGACAAGUCUCUCGUGAAAGCCCACGGCUCAACCGUGGAAUUGCGGGAGAUACUGUCUGUCUUGAGUCCGGGAGAGGAGGGUGGAAUUCCCAGUGUAGCGGUGAAAUGCGUAGAUAUUGGGAGGAACAACGUUGGCGAAGGCGGCUCUCUGGACCGGUACUGACGCUGAGGCUCGAAAGCUAGGGGAGCAAACGGG
rnacentral:rRNA from 1 species